UGAGGAAUAUUGGUCAAUGGGCGGGAGCCUGAACCGGCCAAGUCGCGUGAAGGAAGAAGGACCUAUGGUUCGUAAACUUCUUUUGCAGGGGAAUAAAGUGCAGGACGUGUCCUGUUUUGUAUGUACCCUGAGAAUAAGGAUCGGCUAACUCCGUGCCAGCAGCCGCGGUAAUACGGAGGAUCCGAGCGUUAUCCGGAUUUAUUGGGUUUAAAGGGUGCGUAGGUGGUUUGAUAAGUCAGCGGUGAAAGUUUGCAGCUUAACUGUAAAAAUGCCGUCGAAACUGUCGGACUUGAGUGUAAAUGAGGUAGGCGGAAUGCGUGGUGUAGCGGUGAAAUGCAUAGAUAUCACGCAGAACUCCGAUUGCGAAGGCAGCUUACUAAGCUACAACUGACACUGAAGCACGAAAGCGUGGGGAUCAAACA
rnacentral:rRNA from 1 species